rnacentral:tRNA from 1 species
GAGGGAAUAGCUCAGUGGUAGAGCACCUGCUUAGCAUGCAGGAGGUCCUGGGUUCAAUCCCCAGUGCCUCCA